UGCCAGCCGCCGCGGUAAUACGGAGAUGGCAACCGUUGUUCGGAAUCACUGGGCUUAAAGGGCACGUAGGCGGGUAAAUUAGUUGGUUGUGAAAUCCCAUGGCUACCCAUGGAACUGCAGCCAGAACUGUUUACCUUGAGUAUGGUAGGGGAUAGUGGAACUCCUGGUGGAGCGGUGAAAUGCGUUGAUAUCAGGAGGAACGCCGGAGGCGAAAGCGACUAUCUGGGCCAUAACUGACGCUGAUGUGCGAAAGCUAGGGGAGCAAACAGGAUUAGAUA
rnacentral:rRNA from 1 species